GGCGACUGCGUGGCAGCACGGGCCGCUUCCUUAUCCGCAUCUCCACAGAGCACGAUGUUCUGUUUUUGCAGUAGAGGGCGCCGAAGAGGCACUGUGAGAAGGACCGUGGUCUCCCAGUGUUUCUGACUGCUACACAGAAUGUCUGCGAUCUUGCAGCCUCGGUCUGGACUGGCGAUAACAUUCCUGAGCAGUUUUCGUACGGGGAAACGGGCCCCAAAGCCCUCCGGCUCACCCCAGGUGCCCUAAACCACCACUCAUUUUGCUACUGACAUUUCCUCCCGCAAGUCCCAGCACCUGCCUCCACUCCCACCCAUUGCAGAUCCAGGCACAGCUCACCUGUAUCCCAGCCCCUAAUCUCUAUGUGCAAGUGCACCCUGAUCACUGAUUACUGUGUUCUACAUGCAUUCCAAAGAGUUACUUCCUACUUGCCCAGGACUGCAGACCAGCUCUGACUAGAACAGACCAGCAAGCGUCUUUGCUAUCCAGUGUGCUGAACUACACCUUCUCCAAUAAGAUCUGAACUCUUAUUGUCCUUCCUUAUGUACCUGCCCCCCCAGGUCUAGAAUACCAUAGUUUCCUUGUAGUUGUUCUUUUAUCGAAGUUUAAUAAAUCUUUGUAUUAAAUUUAACCCAAUGUGUGCUUUUGUUGUUAAUUGGACCCUGACUGACACAGGCACUGUAUACGUUUUAUAUCAAUUUUACUUGAAAUACUAAUAUGACCCAACCAAACUUCAGGAAUGAAAAGAAAAAGGAAAAAGAAAAAAUAUCAUGAAGUGCAAAUUUA
rnacentral:lncRNA from 1 species